UAUGCUGCAGGUGCCGCCCUAAAAAGACCCCCCCCCCACGGAAAAAGGUGCAAAACACAGACUCACAGAUAUAGAACAAAGUAGUGGGAACCAGUGGGAGAGGGAAAAGAGCAUAAUAGAAGGAGGCAAAAAGGAGCUACAACUAUGAGGUAUAAAAUAAAUAAGCUACAAGAAGUAUAACAGCGGGAAUAUACUCGGUAUUUUAUGCUAACUAUAAAUGGAAUAAAACCUUUAAAAAUUGUGACUAUAUUGAAUACCCAUAACUUGUAUAAAACUGUACUUCAAUGAUACAUCAAUCAAAAAAUUUU